rfam:Trachymyrmex septentrionalis contig25632, whole genome shotgun sequence.
UUGCAUACAGGGGGAGUUUUUUUUAGCAGGUAGGCGAUGUGUCUCUUUUAGAGAUGCAAAUGUAUCGAAUCCUGCACAUCCAGGGGACCGACCCCUGGGCGUCUUCCCAUUAUUCGGAUAAAUUCUUCUCGAAGCACCCCAGAUGAUGGGCAUUGUGAAGAUUUUUUUUCUUUCGCAA